rnacentral:lncRNA from 1 species
UAGAAGUUUGAAGUUAAUGAUGAGUAGUGCACCAUGAUUAGUUCUUCACUCUUCUAGUGUUGCUUUUGGCGUUGCAUUCUCUGUGUAUAUGUCACAAUGGAUGCGUCAACGGAAGCAUAAAUAAACAUGUCUUGGUGCAUUGCAGGCUUAUGUGUGAUGACUGAUUACCUAAUUAGUCACCACCUCCUCAUUGCACUCAUUUGAAACAAAAUUUCAGUACUGUCCUAGUGUUGCUUUUGGCGUUGCAUUCUCUGUGUAUAUGUCGUAAUGGAUGCGUCAACGGAAGCAUAGAUGAACAUGUCUUGUUGCAUUGCAGACUUAUCUAUGAUGACUGAUCCCUACUUCAUUCAUUCAUGACCUCCUCAACGCACUCAUUUGUUAAUACUUUUGACAUUUGGUACUGGGUUACGGUAUUUAUUUGUCUGCUUAGAACAUGUUUAAAAAUUCAUCAGAUUGUGGGACUUCUUGUCUGCCCCAUUGGCUAUAACAAGUGAGAUUGCCUAUGGGAUGGAGCAGUCCCUUACAUCUGAUAACCAUCCUCUUCACUUUGUCUGCUAAAACCUCCAGUUUUUAGCUGAUCAUUAACGGAUGGGACAUUUAUAUAACCAUCUCCUUCACUUUGUCUGCUAAGACGUUCUGUUUCUAGCUGAUCAUUAGCUGAUGUGACAUUUCAUGA